GUCAUUUGUCUUUCCUACAUGUAUUUUUUCUGUGGGCUUUUUUCCUCCUCUCUUUUGCUGUAUUUGUUUUUGUGGGAGAGUUAGGGACCUUCCAAAACCAUGAAGCUGUCACCUUCUUCCUUCCUUUGCCUAAUUUUUAAAUGAUCACAGGCUGCUCCAGCAACGAUGCGUGUCAAGAAUGUAUGGGGAGACUGGAAGAACAGACAUGAAGCUACUGCUAUGGUGAGCUUUGCUUCUUCAGGAUAUUUUCAUUCUGCGAAGAGCUGCUCUCACUGACCAGAAAAUAAUGCCACAAACAACUUCAGCAACAUCCUUACUACGGCCCAUGAUCCCACUGGAAGUGAAAGCAUUGUUUCCUGUUGCUCAAGUAGAAAUAUCUUAAGGACGGUGGUUUCUGGAGACACUAAGAUGAUCUUCUUGCAGACUGACAGGCAUCUAGAUAUUUUCCCACCAUUCCAAUUCUUUCUUCACCUGAGAAGAGAGAGAAUCCAUUAUUUGUCCUAUUGCUUUUGAUAUAUGGUUUGAAGUCUCUAGCCAUUCUGCUAAAGAAGAUAAUUUUUAUGCACUUAAUAAAUGGAAGAAAACAUC
rnacentral:lncRNA from 1 species